CAUACUAGCUCAGUGGCUCAGAGCGAUCGCUCCUCCAGCGAUUGAUCACAGGUUCGACUCCUGUGUAUGACA
rnacentral:tRNA from 1 species